rnacentral:pre_miRNA from 1 species
AUGUGAAUCACUUGGGGAUCUUAGUAAAAAGUAGAUCCUGAUUCAUAACAUGUGACAUGGAGCUUCAGGGUCUGCAUCUCUAACAAGCUUCCAAGUGAUGCCAAU